rnacentral:lncRNA from 1 species
AAAAAUUUCUUAAAACUCAAAUCCAAACCUUAAACAAAAUGGAAUUGCGGAGAGGAUUUCCUCUCUUAAUCCAACAGUACAAAGCUUUACUCUUUAAGAAUCUUCUCCUCUCAUGGCGAAAUAGGCGAUCCACAUUUCUCCAGCUUUUCUCAUCCCUCUUCUUCAUCUUCAUCAUCUUCUGCAUUCAAAAAGCAUUCGACUCGAGAUACUCCUCGUCUUCUUCUUUCAAAAGUAUCAAUGAUCCUGAACCGUUGAUCUUUCCCGCAAUCCCACCUUGUGAGGAAAAAUUCUACUCUAAAUUGCCAUGCUUUGAUUUUGUUUGGAGUGGGAAUGACAGUGCUAGAAUUGGGGAGAUUGUUAGAAGGAUUCGAGAGAAUAAUCCCGGCCGGAGUAUUCCUUCUGACAAGGUUUAAUUUUUCCCUAUUUUUUAAUUUUGUUUUCUUGUUUUGUAAGUAAAAUGCAGUUUUCUGAAGAAGUUUUCACUUAAUUUUGAUUACAGCAAAUUGAAUUAAAAAAGGAUUGGAUGAGAGUUAGAAGGGUGUGCCCUAAUGUGUGUUAUCUUUGUUUUGAUGCAAAAUCUCUUAGGCUCUAUUUGAUUGCAACAUUUUUCAUGGAAAAUGUCACAUCCAACGAAAAUAAUUUCCACUUUGACUGUUUGAUUCGUAUGUGGAAAUGGAAUUUAAAUUCUUAUGUACAACCAUUUAAAGCACGUUUUUGGCCAAUUCCAUGAAAAACGAAUUCUUAUGGGUAUGGUGAUAAUUUGUUUUCCAACUUAGAUGGAAUUCCUUUUCCUUUUCCUCCUUCGCAAUCAAACGGGGCCUUAUGCAUAUUUGUUAGGGAGGAUUACAUAGCACAUGAUAAGGGCAAAAAAGAAAAAAAAAGUACAAUCUUGUUCAUUAUAUUGUUCAGUUUGCAUGCAAACGCAUUGACUUAUAUAUUUUGUCUGCAGUACAUGAAGCAGAAAAUGUAAAUAUAGCUUUACUGUUGGAAUUAAAUUCCUUGUUGAUUUUAAUCUAUUGAAUUUUGAAGUCAACGGGUAGAAACCAUUAAAAAUAGUAAAUGAAGUAAUCAAAAAUCAGAAUCUGGUUAGGGUAAUGUUUUAUAAAUUAUAGAAUAUUAUAUUAGUAUUUAAAAUGAAUUUGUUGAUUCCAAAAUUUCUGUAGUUCACAGAGAAACUUGAUUAGUUCCAUUUCAUAAACUCAUGUUUUCUACUCAAAAUUAAAUUGCUUAAUUAAGUUGUUUAGGCUGAUUCACCACUAUGUACAGUCACUUGGUAAUUACCUUCUUAUGUUUUUGUUAUAUAUUUCUUUCCCCGGUCUGCAACAUUAUUGAAGUUCCACUUAAGGCUAGUUACAGUUUCCAGUUUGGAUGUAUAAAGGUAAAAUGAUGCAAUAUCCUUUCUUUGAUUAUUAUGAUGAAUCAAUCAUAAUGGCAGAAAAUAACGAACUGGGGAUAAGAAAUAUAAUAUGGGACUCAGACUUUUCUGAAGAUAUUUGGAAUUCUAUGUGAUUACAAAUUUGGUUGUUUACUUUUUUGAUCGGAGCUAAAUCUGUAAUUUUCGACAAUGCCUUUUUUAGGAAUAAAGUUAGUAGCAUUUUAUCUAAGUAAAAACUUGUAAUAUAAAAAAACUGUAUUGCUGAAAGAAUGGGAAAUGAUCAUGCCUUGAGCAGGUUCAGUCAUUCAAAACGCGAAAUGAAGUUGAUGAUUGGCUUGCCAACCAUUCUAUGCAUUGUCCUGGAGCUCUGCAUUUAGUGGACAGAAACGCUACCGUAAUUAGCUAUGGAUUGCAGACUAAUUCUACUCCACUUGCUAAGCGAGGAAAUUUUGAAGAUCCUACUUUUAAAUUUCAAAUUCCACUUCAACUUGCUGCAGAACGUGAAAUCGCAAGAUUUCUGAUUGGAGGUAUGACAUCCGAAAUUCUUCUUUUAGAGCAUGUUUUGCAUCACUUAUAAAAAAAAAUGAAGUUAAUUUUUGUCUUCAAACAUGUUCGGAUAAUUUAUAUUUUUUGUACAUUUAAGUAAAAAGUUACUUUUUUGAAAGCAACUCUUACCUUGUCCAUAUUUGGAAAACAUUGUAAUUUUCUUAUAUUUUAAUGUUCAAACUCAAACAUUAAUUUUAAUCACACAUUUUGGAGGACGUACAACUACUACCCACUUAUCCCACCCCUCAUUUUUGUCACAUUAUAAUUUCAGAUAGCUAUAAUUUUAUAUUAGAUAAAUUAAUUUCUUCAGGUUUCAACAAUAAAAGUAUUUAUUUUAAAACUUACUUAUUAACUUAUAAGUGAACUUUUUAAGCUUAGCGCAACAUGCUCUGAUCUGAUGGAUCAUAUAAAGCAUGAUGAGAGUUUCCUUACAAUGCACCCUCUUUUUUGUGGCUGCAUACACUUCAGAUGCAAGCUUUAGUUGGGUUGUCAGUCUUAAGGAAUUUGCCCAUCCUGCUAUUGAAAUCUUUUCGGCUGUGCAAAGAGCAGGACCGACCUUUUUCCUGGCAAUUGCUAUGUUUGCUUUUGUCCUUCAAAUUUCUGCUUUGACCACGGAGAAAGAAUUAAAACUUCGCCAGGUAUAGAAUAAUCUCCAUUUCAAAAUGAAGAUAAGUACUCCUAUGGUUCCAGCAUAUUGCAAAAUCCUGAAUAAUUAUUCACUUACAUGUUUGAUAACAGGCAAUGACAAUGAUGGGUCUUUAUGAUACUGCCUAUUGGUUAUCGUGGCUCACUUGGGAGGGAAUCCUCACAUUGCUUUCCUCACUUUUCACAGUUUUAUUUGGAAUGAUGUUCCAGUUUGACUUUUUCUUGCACAACAGUUUUGCUGUUGUGUUCUUCUUGUUCUUUCUCUUUCAAUUGAGUAUGGUAGGUUUCCUUACUCCAGUAUGAAACGUACGUCAUAUUCAGUUAUUGUCAUUAUAACGAGGUUUGUUUCUUGCUUCUGUUAUCAGACUGCAUUUGCCUUUAUGCUGUCUACGUUUAUUAGCAAGUCUGAUUCGUCCAGCACGUUAGGUUUCUUUUGCUUUAUUAUUGGUUCCAUGACUCAGGCAAGUUUCUCUUUUCAAAAAAUGUUUAAUUACAAAGUACUGAAUGCCACUCAUAAUAACAGAUCUCUCUUCAUACUAUUCCAGAUCGUGACAGCAUUUGGAUUUCCUUACAGCGAUGACUUCUCGAACACGUACCGAAUUGUGUGGUCACUUUUUCCUCCAAAUCUUUUUGCUAAAGGUCUCGAAUUGCUCUCUGAUGCAACUGCAACUCCUCAAGAUCCCGGUGUCAGCUGGAAUGGGAGGACAAAAUGUUCACCAAAUGAUACUGAUUGCAUCAUAACAAUUGUACGUCAAACCAUCAAGCUUCUAUUCUAUUUCCCUUUUAUGCAUUACGAGUUAACUAGUCUUAGAAAUUAACUCAAAGCAUGUCUGAUACACAUUUCUCAACAAGAUUGGAUAGUGAACCUUUUCUCUUUUAAUACUGCUGAGUACCAUCUAAUCCAACUUAUUUAAUAUGGCAUCUUUGUCUUAAAAUUUGUUCGAUGAUUAUCUUAAGUAUUCAACUGCCUCUUACUAAAUUGCUUCCAAAACUUUUUAUGUUGAUUGACAGAACAAGAUUUACAUAUGGCUUUUAGCUGUAUCCUUUCUCUGGUUUGUUUUGGCCAUCUACUUUGACAAUAUUUUUCCAAAUACAUCUGGGGUGAGAAAGUCGGUGUUAUAUUUUCUGAGUCCUGGGUACUGGACCGGAAAUGGGGGAAACAAGGUGGAAGGUAUUGAAAUCCGAUACAAUAAUUUUCUGUCAUUUCAUCCUGUUAUUUGGUUGAUACUGCCAACUGCUAAUAUCUUAGGCAUGCCCUUUUUCCUUUGAGAAGGAAGCAUAUGUAGUUGCUUUAGUUCAGUACCACUCGUGGACAGCACCAUUCCAGAGGACGAGGAUGUACUUGAAGAGGAAAACAUAGUGAAACAGCAAGCUUCAGACGGUAGUGUAGAUUCACGAAUUGCAGUCCAAAUACGUGGUCUCGUGAAAACUUACGCUGGAGCAACAAAGAUCGGGUGCUGCAAAUGUAAGAGGACCUCUCCUUACCAUGCUCUCAAGGUAAAAUAAACCUUGUGGAAUAUGGUACCGUAAGAGUAGUUUUGGGGAACUGAAUCUCCGAGUUAAUAUAGAUCAAUAGUG